rnacentral:lncRNA from 1 species
UUAUUUUAAAUUAUUCUUCCAUUGAGGAAAUACUGAUUCAAGCUUUUCCUUUAACUUAUUGUCAAUAUAUUCCUCAUUUGAUGAGUCUGCUUCCUUCUUCAGAACUUCUUUAUAUGUUGGAACCUUAGAUGAUCCUUCUUAUUUUAUAUUUAUACAAGAUGAACUUGGCUUAAGUUCCCUUAUUUUUUUAUACUUUUGAAUAUAUUCCUUAGCAGCAGGUUCUAAAAAGUAGUUUACUCCUAAUAUAUUUCUAGCAUAUGUAAGCGCUUGAUUAAUGUCAGUAUAUUUCUUCCAUAAUAUUCCCCCGUCUUUAUCUUUCUCUAUUUUUUGUGCUAUUACUUGCUCAAAUGAUA